GUUCAUGGGCGAAGCCUGACCGCAACGCCGCGUGCGCGAUGAAGGCCUUCGGGUCGUAAAGCGCUUUUGGGAGGGAUGAAAAUGACAGUACCUCCCGAAUAAGGAUCGGCUAACUACGUGCCAGCAGCCGCGGUAAGACGUAGGAUCCAAGCGUUAUCCGGAAUUACUGGGCGUAAAGGGCGUGUAGGAGGUUGGGCAAGUCGGCCAUGAAAGCUCCCGGCUCAACUGGGAGAGGCUGGUCGAUACUGCCUGGCUAGAGGGCAAGAGAGGGAGGUGGAAUUCCCGGUGUAGUGGUGAAAUGCGUAGAUAUCGGGAGGAACACCAGUGGCGAAGGCGGCCUCCUGGCUUGUACCUGACUCCGAAACGCGA
rnacentral:rRNA from 1 species